AACGAACGCUGGCGGCAUGCCUAACACAUGCAAGUCGAACGAGACCUUCGGGUCUAGUGGCGCACGGGUGCGUAACGCGUGGGAAUCUGCCCUUGGGUUCGGAAUAACAGUUAGAAAUGACUGCUAAUACCGGAUGAUGUCUUCGGACCAAAGAUUUAUCGCCCAAGGAUGAGCCCGCGUAGGAUUAGGUAGUUGGUGGGGUAAUGGCCCACCAAGCCGACGAUCCUUAGCUGGUCUGAGAGGAUGAUCAGCCACACUGGGACUGAGACACGGCCCAGACUCCUACGGGAGGCAGCAGUUGGGGGAAUAUU
rnacentral:rRNA from 1 species